rnacentral:misc_RNA from 1 species
CGCAGUGGCAUGAUCUCAAACGCGGCGAUCUGAUCUUCUGGAAGGGCCAUGUCGCAAUCGUGCGCGAUGGCAGCACCAUCGUCCACGCCAACGCGCACCACAUGGCGACAGCCAUCGAGCCGACAGANNNNNNNNNNNNCAUCAAGGCCGCAGGCAGUGACGUGACCAGCGUUAAGCGGCUGCGUUGAAGACUUAUAGAUCCGGCACGAUGUUCGGCGCGGCUUCGAUAUUGAACGCCGCCGCGAACA